UAGUUUGGUGCAAAAGUAAUUGUGGUUUUUGCCAUUUUAAGUAAUGCCCAGAACCGCAAUUACUUUUGCA
rnacentral:miRNA from 10 species